GACGGGGGGGGCAAGUGUUCUUCGGAAUGACUGGGCGUAAAGGGCACGUAGGCGGUGAAUCGGGUUGAAAGUGAAAGUCGCCAAAAAGUGGCGGAAUGCUCUCGAAACCAAUUCACUUGAGUGAGACAGAGGAGAGUGGAAUUUACGGUGUAGCAGUGAAAUGCGUAGAGAUCGUAAGGAAGACCAGUGGCGAAGGCGGGUCUCUGGACAGUUCCUGACACUGAGGCACGAAGGCCAGGGGAGCAAACGGG
rnacentral:rRNA from 1 species